rnacentral:lncRNA from 1 species
AUGUCUCCAGCUAACCCAGCAACAAAUCAAUAUGUCCAGUCUACUGGCAUGAUGGUUGGUGUGCUGCCAUAUGGAUAUGGAGCUAAUUCACUACCACCUCCACCAUCAUUACCGCCACAUAUUGCAAUGGGAUUGGCAAGGCCUGCUGCUCAGCAACCACAGCAGUCACAACCUCAGCAACCACAGCAGCAGCAGCAAACACCAGGAACAGGAGGAUAUUACAGGCCACCAGGUAUUGGAUUCUAUGGGCAAAACCAUCAACCAGC